rnacentral:rRNA from 1 species
UGCCAGCAGCCGCGGUAAUACGUAGGGUGCRAGCGUUAAUCGGAAUUACUGGGCGUAAAGCGUACGCAGGCGGCUUGRUAAGACAGAUGUGAAAUCCCCGGGCUCAACCUGGGAACUGCAUUUGURACUGCCARGCUCGAGUCUGUCAGAGGGGGGUGGAAUUCCACGUGUAGCAGUGAAAUGCGUAGAGAUGUGGAGGAACACCGAUGGCGAAGGCAGCCCCCUGGGAUGAGACUGACGCUCAUGUACGAAAGCGUGGGGAGCAAACAGGAUUAGRUACCCUGGUAGUCCACGCCCUAAACGAUGUCGACUAGUUGUCGGGAAUUCAUUUUCUCGGUAACGCAGCUAACGCGUGAAGUCGACCGCCUGGGGAGUACGGUCGCAAGAUUAAAACUCAAAGGAAUUGACGGGGGCCCGCACAAGA